rnacentral:rRNA from 1 species
GGCCUAACACAUGCAAGUCGAGCGCCCCGCAAGGGGAGCGGCAGACGGGAGAGUAACACGUGGGAACGUACCCUUCAGUUCGGAACAACCCAGGGAAACUUGGGCUAAUACCGGAUACGUCCGUAAGGAGAAAGAUUUAUCGCUGAAGGAUCGGCCCGCGUCUGAUUAGCUAGUUGGUGAGGUAACGGCUCACCAAGGCGACGAUCAGUAGCUGGUCUGAGAGGAUGAUCAGCCUCACUGGGACUGAGACACGGCCCAGACUCCUACGGGAGGCAGCAGUGGGGAAUAUGGACAAUGGGCGCAAGCCUGAUCCAGCCAUGCCGCGUGGAUGAUGAAGGCCCUAGGGUUGUAAAGUCCUUUCGGCGGGGAAGAUAAUGACGGUACCCGCAGAAGAAGCCCCGGCUAACUUCGUGCCAGCAGCCGCGGUAAUACGAAGGGGGCUAGCGUUGC